GAGAGAUCAUGCUAAAAAUGACAUAAUAGACGUUGUUAACAGUGCAUCUGAGCGAUUGUCUUCUAGGUGUGCAAAGGUGUAUUUUGCAGACAAUAGAGGUGUUUGCUUAUCACGUAAUGGAGAUAUCGACGAAAGUGUAUACAGAGAUAAUGUACACUUAAAUAACCAAACGGGAACGAAAAAACUAGUCGCAAGCUUAAAAAGUCAAAUUCCAGGGCUCAGAAGACAAAGGGAUCCCGCUGUAACUCGGAAAUUCCCAGUCAACAACCGUUUCCAGCAAAGAAGACAAGGCGCUCCUAGCGGAUCCACAGGUAUCCCACAAGCAAGAUAUCAGGCCCCCACAGGCAACCCACAAGCGUACUGUCCACCAACAAACAACCCGAUGUUUCGCCCAUUCCCAGGUAACCCACAGGGGUAUCAGCAACCCACAACUAAUCAACUUCCCACAGGUAGACAGCAGUAUCCAAUGAACUCUCAGCAGCAACAAUUAGAACAAGCCCUAAAAAUUAUUUCUGAAUGUGUAAGGUUAGCCUAUAGAAAUGGAUAAAAAACAUCUCAAAUCACUGAAAAUGUCAACAUGCCAGGUUCACUAACUUCUCGAUAGAGAUCCGCUUGAAUCAGUACAUCUUAAAUUCUGUAAAAUGUUACUAGGAACUGGAAAAACGGCUGUGAACAAUGCGUGCAGAGGGGAACUAGGCAGAUAUCCUCUUUGUAUAAAUGCAACAUAUAGGAACAUAAAAUACUGGACCAACCUUCGGUCAAAAGAAGAGGCCCUCUCAAAAGUAGUUUAUACAGAGUGUGUAAAUAACCCUCACGUGUCCUACUGGACCCACAAAACAAAAGAAAUAAUUUUCAAAGCGGGUUUUGGGUUUAUGUGGCUCUAUCAAAAUGAAACCGACCCUACAUUGUUCCUUGAUAUUUUCUCUAAACGACUUAAUGAUAUGUAUUUUCAGAAAUGGCAUGGGGAAAUUUUCAAUGACCAAAGGAAAAACAGUAAUGAAAUGAACAAACUAAGAACUUAUAGAACUUUUAAAGACAAAUAUGAAUUAGAGAAUUACCUUGUAGCCAUCCCUAAUGUGAAACAUAGAGUUGCGCUAACAAAACUAAGAAUAAGUAAUCACCAAUUGCAAAUUGAGAAAGGCAGACAUACGAGGCCUUACACAAAGGAAAAAGAUCGGAUUUGCCCAACAUGCAAAAAUGACGUGGAAAAUGAAUUUCACUUUCUAGUACAAUGCCAAACAUACAAAGAGCUACGAAAUUCAGUUAUCCAAAAUUUGCAGCGCAAUCAAAUUACACAAAAACGCCUUUUCAAUUUACUAAUAAAUCCGCCAACUCAAUUAGCAGGGAUAGCUGCAAGGUACAUUUCCGAAUGUUUCAAGCUAAGGGAAACGCUAAUA